AGUAGGGCCCGAGUUGUUAUCUGUUUGCAUCUGCUUAGUCCUGCGCUAUUCUGGGAGUCUUAGAUGUGGUCAGGGCUCUGGAGGAGGUGGGGAGAGCUGGCAGGCACACAAGCAUGACUGGAGCUCUGGGGAUGUAAUUUCCAAUCAAGUGAUCCCCCACAAGCUGGGUAAACAUCCUUUGAUUUGAGCAAUGCUCCAGCAGACAAAGAGAUCCUGUCAUUGUUCUGUACCGGCUCAGCAGGUCCCAGCACCAUCGCGCUGUUGUUCAAGUUCCAGCUCAACCCAAAUCUGACCCUCCCAGUACAAUCCACAAAAAUAACCCUGAAACUCAGAGCUGCUAGGUGAGCUCUAGAGGGAAGGGAGGCUUUUAUUGGUUUUCCCCCAAAAGGAUAGUGAAUGGGACAACGGUUUUCAGAAACGUGGCUGGUGGUGUGAGAGGCUGUCAGAAUGGAGCCCCACAGCACAAGUCUCAUGGCCACUCAUCCAUGGAAGAGCAGAUGUUUCCCAUCAGAAGGUUAGGAUUGUGGCGUGGGCGCUCCUGUGCUUCUCCAGGACAACCUUUUCUCCUGGCCCUGGCUCCAGUGUCCUCUGGUCUGAAGCCUCUCAGGGUGCUGGGUGGGAGCUGGGGGACAGCUGACUUGCUCCCCCACCCCCCCGAGACUCUGAUUUUGACCAGCUGAGCUCCUGCCUGGAGGUCUCUGGGUCAGUCCUGAUGUCCAAGCUGUCCAGAGGUACCUCCCAGCUGUUGUAAGGUGACCUAUAUCCACGAGGGGUAGGGACAACUUGUAUUUCCUGUGUUUCGCUUUCAGCUGGGGAUAUUUGUGCCUGAACACCCUGGUAUCAGACUGUUUCAUGCUGUGGAUGUUUCUGUUCGUUCUCCCUCACCUCCCACCGUGCUGGCUGACCUUCACCCAGGCUGAGGAGGAAGCUGCGCAGUGUAAUGCAAAAUACCAGGUGGGAAAUAAAACCGGGGUAGGAAAAACAGCACUGCCGUGUCCUUGGGGAAGCAGAGUGAUACACUCCUUCCUCUGACAGCCUGGCGAGCGGCCACCUCUGCAGAAAGGAAAAUGUGUUGUACAUCCCCGGCCAGGUUUCCAGGUUUAGGAUGCCCAGGCCAGGAGGGACCAGUGGUUGCACAGCCUGCUUUGUGAGGCUUCAGUAACUCCUCACUUGCAGCAACUAGGGCAUGCCUUUCAAACAGACCACAGUGCAACAGCUCCAGACGGCCACCCAACAUCUGCUCUGGCAACUUGAGGCUCCCAGAGGGUUAGCGUGUCUCCUGACCGUGACCGGGGAAGAGCAUGUCUCUGGGAGUCCCAUGGCACAUGAUGACCAGACGGGGAGUGAAGCAUCAUUUCUCUGCAGAGUGACGUGUCAGCUGAUGUCACAGCAUCUCUCCAAGGGUAUUUUGGAUCCACGUUUGCUCGGCCCCGAAUGUGCGACUCCCUUGACCGUGCUCAGGGCUGAGUUCCCAAGCAUGUAACUCUCAAUCCAUGGAGAAAGACCCUUUCAAAUGCCUCUGUUCACUCGCUCUGCCAAUUAAAAUGAAAUGAAAACCAUAAUGCCAUAAAAUCUGGGAAACGUCCAGAAGACGAAUUAUGAAAUCAUUUCCUCUUGGUUUAACUGCAGUUUCAGCCUCUUUGCUGAGAUCAGCCAGAGGCUGAGGCCAAGGAGACAGUUGGAGUUGGGGAGGAAGAAAGACAACAAAUGGGUGAAAUUAUAACACGUCUCUGGAGAAGAGGCAUGGGGGCAGCUCCGAGAGUUGGGAAAAGAAGGAAGAAGCCCAACCUGACCAGAAAUUGUAACUGUUGAUGAACAACUGGAGCCAAAAAUAAAGAUAUUAUUGGACUAUU